AUACGCGUGGGUGAUGAAGGUCUCGGAUUGUAAAGCCCUUUUAGUGGAGAAGAUAAUGACGGUAUCCACAGAAAAAGCACCGGCAAACUUCGUGCCAGCAGCCGCGGUAAUACGAAGGGUGCUAGCGUUGUUUGGAAUCAUUGGGCGUAAAGCGUACGUAGGCGGUUUAGUAAGUCGAUUGUGAAAGCCCCGAGCUCAACUUGGGAACUGCAAUCGAAACUGCUUUGCUAGAGUUUGGUGGGGGAUAGUGGAAUUCCUAGUGUAGGGGUGAAAUCCGUAGAUAUUAGGAGGAACAUCAGUGGCGAAGGCGACUAUCUACGCCAAUACUGACGCUAAGGUACGAAAGCGUGGGGAGCAAACAGGAUCAGAUACCCUGGUAGUCCACGCAGUAAACGAUGAGUGCUAGUUGUCGGGGUUAACCCCUCGGUGGCGAAGCUAACGCGUUAAGCACUCCGCCUGGGGAGUACGAUCGCAAGAUUAAAACUCAAAGGAAUUGACGGGGACCCGCACAAGCAGUGGAUCAUGUGGUUUAAUUCGAUGCUACACGAAAAACCUUACCAAGCCUUGAAUCUAGAUGAUCGGUAUAGAGAUAUACCUU
rnacentral:rRNA from 1 species